UGGUGGAGUGAUUUGUCUGGUUAAUUCCGUUAACGAACGAGACCUCAGCCUGCUAAUUCGUACUCACAAGUGCAAACUUGUGUAGGACUUCUUAGAGGGACUAUCGGUAUCUAGCCGGUGGAAGUGUGAGGCAAUAACA
rnacentral:rRNA from 1 species